GGGCUUAGCCCUCCUUGGGCGUUUCCUCCCUAUCCUGACCCCGCUCUCCUUCGGGAGGGCGGGGCUUUUUUGCGUUUG
rnacentral:sRNA from 1 species